CUCUCAGCUGAGAUGAAGGGAAUUAUUUUGUAAGCUGUUCCAUCAGAAAACCAAUGCUUUACUGAAAUCACCCCCUCCUAACUCCAGCAUCUCUUGAUACAGAAGUUCCUCCAUACCUAUGAUAGGCCUGCAGCUGCUGGUGGGUGUUAAUUGCCUUGAUGAGCCUCACCUGGGACCACCAUCACACCCUCCACCUGCAGGAGCCCCAUUAUAUAAGCUCAGCUCCAGGCUUCUGGAUCUUUCUUGAGUUCCAGCACUGGCAGACCUGCAUCUUGUCCUGCCUCCUGGAUGGACUGUGGAUCUCUGCUCCAGUGGUGGUGUUCACAAUUUGAUAAGCCAAAAUAAAGUCAAGCCAGGAAAAACA
rnacentral:lncRNA from 1 species